UGGACAUUUUGCAAAAAGUAGAGUAAUUCUGUCAGACUGGAUGUAAACCUCAUUUGUCAGUGGCCCCAUGAAUUGAAAAAUAAUUGGCAAAAAUCUAAGUUCUUUAAGUUCUCAUGAGAGGUGUCUCAGCAGCUGGGAGCCGGCCUCAUUUUCUGCAUUUUUCAAGCUCAGACCAUCCUGAAAUCCUUUCCAUUCUUUUAAGCUCUGAUACCCAGACCAGGAUGAUUCAGGCAGGUUCCCCUGUUAAAGGAAGUGAUGGAACCAUUU
rnacentral:misc_RNA from 1 species